UUUAUAUUUACUUAAUAUUGUGACUAUAUUGCUGUUGGUGUUUCAUUGGAUUGAUUAAAAAUUCUCCUAAUUGAAAUUCAGAAUACUCUUACAUAGGCCCUCGUACAAAGAGAGACUUUCUUCCCAGUCCUCACUCACUCACUCUUAUUUCUUCUAAUUGUUAUCUUACAUUUAACACACUAUUUUGUCUAUGGGAGAGGUUGGACUUUAUUUCCCAUUUCAGUUGUUUAUUUCAAGCCAGCGGUUUAAUUGUUUUGCACAUAAAACUGUUACAUCAUGCCUCUUUGUGCUUACUGGGUAGGGAGUCCAUGUCUAUUACCCAUAAUGCGGGGAAGCCUUUUACUUUUAUUCAAUUUAGUAUUAGUUACUGUUUCAUCUCUCCAUUCACAUGCUGGCAUUUUACCAGCCUUUACAAGUUUCUGAACUUUACUUUAUAUUUUCCCCUUCUCUGUUCAACCCAUUUUCUUAGUUUUUGGGUUAACAGAACACCAGAUUGGUUUGAUUCUGAUGCCUAGAAUUUCUCUUAAGCCAUUUUAUGAUAAUUUGCCAGUAAUUAUUCCAUUCAUGACCUUUUUUCAUUAGCAAUUUCAUUUCUUUCUUAGUGCUUUUUUUAAAGUGUGCUGUCAAAAUCGGUUGUCACGUUCCAGUUUUUGGGGUUUGCCUCAGAUUAGCUCAGUAACCUCAGCAUCUGGGUAAGCUAGCCUGACCAAUGCUUUCAACAUUAGUUUGCCUUUUAAAUGUUAUAGGGGCUUCUUCUUCAUAGUAAUUUCAAGUUGUUUGCAAACAUCUCAUCAUUUGUGCACAUCUUUAAUACAGUUAAUUUGUUUAAGAAAAUCUUUGUUCUUGUAUUAGUUAAGUCCAUUAUAUAUCUGUUCCAAAGUCUCAUGAAAUAGUUUCUGUAUGGACAAGGUCUUCCAAAGAUUUAGUGCUCUUUUGUCAGUAUGUGGCUUUCUUUACUGUUUAAAUUUGUUUUACAUAGGAACUUUGUUUUUGUUGUACCUUAACCGUUUUAAUUGUAGGACGUGUUACAUUAAAUGUUGUCCCCGUUUUUAAAGAUGUGAUUCGAGCUAUCAGUGCCGUCUUUUAUAGACAGAAAGAGAUUUGUUUUUCUAUAUAUCCAGACGUUUUGCCACAUUGGGAUUCUUCAAUGGUUUUUUUCAAAAUGGAGUCCUUUCCCCUUAUCCCUGAGUGUUGCUUUAAAAGGGCCAUCUGUCCUUACACAAGUAUCAGGACUCUUCUUAAGGUCACUGUUUUAUUGAGUUUUUUGUGGUGGCGAUCUGCGCCACCACCACGACCGA